rnacentral:rRNA from 1 species
AGUGAACGCUGGCGGUAGGCCUAACACAUGCAAGUCGAACGGCAGCACAGGAGAGCUCGCUCUCUGGGUGGCGAGUGGCGGACGGGUGAGGAAUACAUCGGAAUCUACUCUGUCGUGGGGGAUAACGGAGGGAAACUUACGCUAAUACCGCAUAAGACCUACGGGUGAAAGCAGGGGACCUUCUGGCCUUGCGCGAUUGAAUGAGCCGAUGUCGGAUUAGCUAGUUGGCGGGGUAAAGGCCCACCAAGGGGACGAUCCGUAGCUGGUCUGAGAGGAUGAUCAGCCACACUGUAACUGAGACACGGUCCAGACUCCUACGGGAGGCAGCAGUGGGGAAUAUUGGACAAUGGGCGCAAGCCUGAUCCAGCCAUACCGCGUGGGUGAAGAAGGCCUUCGGGUUGUAAAGCCCUUUUGUUGGGAAAGAAAUCCAGCUGGCUAAUACCCGGUUGGGAUGACGGUACCCAAAGAAUAAGCACCGGCUAACUUCGUGCCAGCCGCCGCCGUAA